CCUACGGGUGGCAGCAGUGGGGAAUCUUGGGCAAUGGGCGCAAGCCUGACCCAGCAACGCCGCGUGAAGGAAGAAGGCUUUCGGGUUGUAAACUUCUUUUGUCAGGGACGAAGCAAGUGACGGUACCUGACGAAUACGCCACGGCUAACUACGUGCCAGCAGCCGCGGUAAUACGUAGGUGACAAGCGUUAUCCGGAUUUAUUGGGUGUAAAGGGCGUGUAGGCGGGAAUGCAAGUCAGAUGUGAAAACUAUGGGCUCAACCCAUAGCCUGCAUUUGAAACUGGAUAUCUUGAGUGCUGGAGAGGCAAGCGGAAUUCCGUGUGUAGCAGUGAAAUGCGUAGAUAUCGGGAGGAACACUAGUGGCGAAGGCGGGUUCCUGGACAUUAACUGACGCUGAGGCACGAAGGCCAGGGGAGCGAAAGGGAUUAGAUACCCUAGUAGUC
rnacentral:rRNA from 1 species